CAGGAAUCUUCCUUUCACCCGGACAGUCCACGUCUCUUGUCCAAUUCAUGGCACAGACGUCACAAUUUCCUCACAGAAAAUAGUGUUUUCAAGAACAACCUAAAAAUACACUGUCAUCAUCAUCAUCAUCAUCAUCAUCAUCAUCAUCAUCUCCUGUCUCAGAGUGAAGCGUCUCUUCCUCCUAGUCUGGAAGAGAACUCGGAUACACUCCUGGAGAAUUACAGCUUGUUCAGUGCCAGCGUUGGAAAAAGCCCUAAAACAGGUGCUCUGUAAACCCGGGAUGGAAAUUCGAGUCAGAUUUCCUUUAAGAUGUUCCGGUUUCUUUGGCCUGGGGUUUGCCAUUAUUUCCAGAAAAGCUUUUUUUUUUCUAAGAAGACAAAGAAUCAAAAAAGAGCCCAGGCGAGUUAUUGUUCCAUAAUUCUGAUUUAUGGAGCCAGGAUUCCUGCAGAGAGGAUUCCGGAGUAUCACUGAACGGGAAUACUGAACUUUCCGGCUGAAAAGCAGUCGGAGCAGUAAAUACAGGUAGUAAACACACGAACAGGUAGUAAUCCACCCCCGAGGUGAUCACGUUAACGUGUCGAUCGAGCCGCGGGAACCGGAGACGACCGACCAGAUGUAGGCCUGAGGAUAUUACCUAGUGAUACGCUAGCAUGCUAGCAUUCUAGCCCUGUUCCUCACUCAGGGACAUGGAGUUAAAGUAGGACACUGGCAAAAAUCUUCAGGAUUUCUGCAUUUUAUUUAAGUUCUAACAGGUUUGAUGUCAAACAAAUAAACUGACAAACAAAUGAAUA